AGCGGAGGAAAAGAAACU
rnacentral:ncRNA from 2 species